GUGAGGAAUAUUGGUCAAUGGGCGCAAGCCUGAACCAGCCAUGCCGCGUGCAGGAAGACGGUCCUAUGGAUUGUAAACUGCUUUUAUUUGGGAAUAAACUCCGGUACGUGUACCGGCCUGAAGGUACCAAAUGAAUAAGCACCGGCUAACUCCGUGCCAGCAGCCGCGGUAAUACGGAGGGUGCAAGCGUUAUCCGGAAUCAUUGGGUUUAAAGGGUCCGCAGGCGGUCUUAUAAGUCAGUGGUGAAAGCCUACAGCUCAACUGUAGAACUGCCAUUGAUACUGUAGGACUUGAAUUCGGUCGAAGUGGGCGGAAUGUGACAUGUAGCGGUGAAAUGCUUAGAUAUGUCACAGAACACCGAUAGCGAAGGCAGCUCACUAGGUCUGGAUUGACGCUCAGGGACGAAAGCGUGGGGAGCAAACAGGAUUAGAUACCCCAGUAGUCC
rnacentral:rRNA from 1 species